UAGGGAAUCUUCNNCNNUGGGGGCAACCCUGACCGAGCAACGCCGCGUGAGUGAAGAAGGUUUUCGGAUCGUAAAGCUCUGUUGUAAGUCAAGAACGAGUAUGAGAGUGGAAAAUUCACACUGUGACGGUAGCUUACCAGAAAGGGACGGCUAACUACGUGCCAGCAGCCGCGGUAAUACGUAGGUCCCGAGCGUUGUCCGGAUUUAUUGGGCGUAAAGCGAGCGCAGGCGGUUUGAUAAGUCUGAAGUUAAAGGCUGUGGCUCAACCAUAGUUCGCUUUGGAAACUGUCAAACUUGAGUGCAGAAGGGGAGAGUGGAAUUCCAUGUGUAGCGGUGAAAUGCGUAGAUAUAUGGAGGAACACCGGUGGCGAAAGCGGCUCUCUGGUCUGUAACUGACGCUGAGGCUCGAAAGCGUGGGGAGCGAACAGGAUUAGAUACCCUGGUAGUCCACGCCGUAAAACGAUGAGUGCUAGGUGUUGGAUCCUUUCCGGGAUUUCAUUGCCGCAGCUUAACGCAUUUAAGCACUCCGCCUGGGGAGUACCGACCGGCAAGGUUGA
rnacentral:rRNA from 1 species